rnacentral:tRNA from 1 species
CGCGGAAUAGAGCAGCUCGGUAGCUCGUCGGGCUCAUAACCCGAAGGUCGUUGGUUCAAAUCCAACUUCCGCAACCA